UACAUUGUGACCUACGCCUUGGGAAUUUACCACCUAAACCUUUUCAUUGCGUUCCUUUCUCCCAAAGUGGAUCCUUCCUUGAUGGAAGACUCAAGCACAUGAUUAAAUACCGGUACAUACCAUUCACACACGGGAAGAGGAGAUACAAAGGGAAGGAGGACGUGGGCAAGACAUUUGCUAGUUAGAAGCUGGACUGAUUCUCACACGGACUCAAGAACGGUUUUGAGCCAUUGUAACAAUGCCUUUUUCUUCACAUAAAGUAGUUGAUUAUGAGGAAGUUGAAUUUUCUUUUUAAGAGGAGCCUCAAUGAUUUGUAUCUGAAAUAUCAGGUUCUUGAAGAAACUGGCAUUUAAACCAAAUUGCAUUGAUUUCUUUUUCAGUGAUGUUCAUGUGUUUGAAAUGGACAGAUUGUAGUGAACCGUAGGCUUGGGAGGCGAGGUGGGUGGCAACCACCGAGAGGGAGGACGGGAGUGCGGCCCUGGAGAGCUGCCUUCCUGACCCCGCUGAGGCCACUCCUCUGUGCCAGAGGGACAAGCCAGCCUGCUUCCUGCUGUGAAAAAGACUGUACCGCUUUGAGGGUGAUUUCACAGAGCUCUGUGGGGUUCUCAUGCCAGUGUCUGAAUCUCAUCUCACUAGAGAUGUUUCUCGAAUUGGCCUCGAUCAUAAUGACUCAAAACUAUGUUCUUAACUACCAUGAUUGCUUUUGAGGGCCUGGAAUUAUAAAUAUAUAUUAUAUUUUAAUUGUUUGAGACUAUUUUGACACUUUCCUUUGAUAUAUAACAUUUGCUUUUGAUUAAUUUAAACUUGUUCUCAUGCAACAAGCUCUUUAAGGAAAGAGAAUGGGCCAGAGCACACCAAGUCUGGGGCUUAUCGCAUGGCCUUUUACUUUCUAUGGGGAAAACAGACCUACCACGUGUCAAACUUUUUAAUGUGAUAAAAAUAAUACUCUUUAAACAUUUUACUAAGUGACUUUUAAAUCCCAGUUUUA
rnacentral:lncRNA from 1 species